AGUCGAGCGGUAGCACAGAGAGCUUGCUCUCGGGUGACGAGCGGCGGACGGGUGAGUAAUGUCUGGGAAACUGCCUGAUGGAGGGGGAUAACUACUGGAAACGGUAGCUAAUACCGCAUAAUGUCGCAAGACCAAAGUGGGGGACCUUCGGGCCUCAUGCCAUCAGAUGUGCCCAGAUGGGAUUAGCUAGUAGGUGGGGUAACGGCUCACCUAGGCGACGAUCCCUAGCUGGUCUGAGAGGAUGACCAGCCACACUGGAACUGAGACACGGUCCAGACUCCUACGGGAGGCAGCAGUGGGGAAUAUUGCACAAUGGGCGCAAGCCUGAUGCAGCCAUGCCGCGUGUGUGAAGAAGGCCUUCGGGUUGUAAAGCACUUUCAGCGGGGAGGAAGGCGAUAAGGUUAAUAACCUUGUCGAUUGACGUUACCCGCAGAAGAAGCACCGGCUAACUCCGUGCCAGCAGCCGCGGUAAUACGGAGGGUGCAAGCGUUAAUCGGAAUUACUGGGCGUAAAGCGCACGCAGGCGGUCUGUCAAGUCGGAUGUGAAAUCCCCGGGCUCAACCUGGGAACUGCAUUCGAAACUGGCAGGCUAGAGUCUUGUAGAGGGGGGUAGAAUUCCAGGUGUAGCGGUGAAAUGCGUAGAGAUCUGGAGGAAUACCGGUGGCGAAGGCGGCCCCCUGGACAAAGACUGACGCUCAGGUGCGAAAGCGUGGGGAGCAAACAGGAUUAGAUACCCUGGUAGUCCACGCCGUAAACGAUGUCGAUUUGGAGGUUGUGCCCUUGAGGCGUGGCUUCCGGAGCUAACGCGUUAAAUCGACCGCCUGGGGAGUACGGCCGCAAGGUUAAAACUCAAAUGAAUUGACGGGGGCCCGCACAAGCGGUGGAGCAUGUGGUUUAAUUCGAUGCAACGCGAAGAACCUUACCUGGUCUUGACAUCCACAGAACUUUCCAGAGAUGGAUUGGUGCCUUCGGGAACUGUGAGACAGGUGCUGCAUGGCUGUCGUCAGCUCGUGUUGUGAAAUGUUGGGUUAAGUCCCGCAACGAGCGCAACCCUUAUCCUUUGUUGCCAGCGGUCCGGCCGGGAACUCAAAGGAGACUGCCAGUGAUAAACUGGAGGAAGGUGGGGAUGACGUCAAGUCAUCAUGGCCCUUACGACCAGGGCUACACACGUGCUACAAUGGCAUAUACAAAGAGAAGCGACCUCGCGAGAGCAAGCGGACCUCAUAAAGUAUGUCGUAGUCCGGAUUGGAGUCUGCAACUCGACUCCAUGAAGUCGGAAUCGCUAGUAAUCGUAGAUCAGAAUGCUACGGUGAAUACGUUCCCGGGCCUUGUACACACCGCCCGUCACACCAUGGGAGUGGGUUGCAAAAGAAGUAG
rnacentral:rRNA from 1 species